rnacentral:rRNA from 1 species
CGGGUGAGUAAUGUCUGGGAAACUGCCUGAUGGAGGGGGAUAACUGCUGGAAACGGUAGCUAAUACCGCAUAACGUCGCAAGACCAAAGAGGGGGACCUUCGGGCCUCUUGCCAUCGGAUGUGCCCAGAUGGGACUAGCUAGUAGGUGGGGUAACGGCUCACCUAGGCGACGAUCCCUAGCUGGUCUGAGAGGAUGACCAGCCACACUGGAACUGAGACACGGUCCAG